rnacentral:rRNA from 1 species
UAGGGAAUCUUCCGCAAUGGACGCAAGUCUGACGGAGCAACGCCGCGUGAGUGAAGAAGGAUUUCGGUUCGUAAAACUCUGUUGUUAGAGAAGAACAGCGCAUAGAGUAACUGUUAUGCGUGUGACGGUAUCUAACCAGAAAGCCACGGCUAACUACGUGCCAGCCGCCGCGGUAAUACGUUGGUGGCAAGCGUUGUCCGGAUUUAUUGGGCGUAAAGCGAGCGCAGGCGGUCAAUUAAGUCUGAUGUGAAAGCCCCCGGCUCAACCGGGGAGGGUCAUUGGAAACUGGUUGACUUGAGUGGAGAAGAGGAGAGUGGAAUUCCAUGUGUAGCGGUGAAAUGCGUAGAUAUAUGGAGGAACACCAGUGGCGAAGGCGACUCUCUGGUCUGUAACUGACGCUGAGGCUCGAAAGCGUGGGUAGCAAACAGG